rnacentral:rRNA from 1 species
UGUGGAAUUCGCCCUUCGCUACCUGGUUGAUCCUGCCAGUAGUCAUAUGCUUGUCUCAAGGGUUUAGCCAUGCAUGUUCCAGUAUAAGUUUUAAUAUAACGAAACUGCGAAGGGCUCAUUAGAUCGGUUAUUAAACAAUCGACGAUUUUAGAUGGUUAUCCGUUAUAACCAACGGUUAAUACAUGUCCGCCACUUUGUGGUGCCUUUAUUUCGACUAUGGCAAACAGCUUUAGCUGCUCGUCGUGAAGAAAUUAUCUGUGCUUAUCGAUCUUCGGAACGAAGCUUCGAAGUUAUUUCCGCCCUAUCAGUUUGUCGGUAACGUAGUGGGUUACCUAGGCGUUGACGGGUAACGGGGAAUUAGGGUUUGACUCCGGAGAGGGAGCCUGAGAAAUGGCUACCACACCUAAGGGUGGCAGCAGGCGCGCAAAUUACCCAAUCUUAUACUAAGGAGGUAGCGACAAGGAAUAACAACAUAGGGAUCUGAUUCUUAUGAUUGGAAUGGUGGGGCUCUAGAGAAUCCCCAGAAUACCAUUGGAGGGCAAGACUGGUGCCAGCAGCCGCGGUAAUUCCAGCUCCAAUAGCGUAUAUUAAUGUUGCUGCAGUUAAAACGCUCGUAGUUGUUGUCCAACUGUUUGACAGUCUUCGGAUAUGUCAAAACAGUUUAGCGGAUUACUCCGCCAAAACCUUGAGGAAAGAUUAGUGUUCCAAGCAGUUAACCUUUGUCCUCCCCAGCAUGGUAUUUAACCUAACCGAAGAAGAUCUUUGCCGAAUCUUCAUCACACUAAAUAGAAAUUCAAGGGGGUGUACGUAUUCUCAAUGUCAGAGGUGAAAUUCCUGGAUUAUUGGAGGGCGAACAAUUGCGAAAGCAUUAACCAAGCGACUUUUCUUUGAUCAAGAACGAAAGUCGGGGGAGUGAAGACGAUCAGAUACCGUCCUAAUCUCGACCGUAAACUAUGCCGACUUGUCGCAGGUAGAUCAUUCAUCAGUUCUGUCGUCGGCUUUGGGUUCUGGGGGGAGUACGAUCGCAAGUUUGAAACUUAAAGGAAUUGACGGAAGGGCACCACCAGGAGUGGAGCUUGCGGCUCAAUUUGACUCAACACGGGAAAUCUCACCAGCCCCACACAUAAUGAGGAUUGACAGUUUGAAGUUCUUUCUUGAUUCUAUGGAUGGUGGUGCAUGGCCGUUCUUAGUUGGUGGAGUGAUCUGUCUGGUUAAUUCCGUUAACGAACGAGAUCUUAGCCUACUAACUAGAAACCGUUAAGGUUUUCUUCUUAGAGGGACACUCAAUCGUUUAGAUUAGGGAAGUUUGAGGUAAUAACAGGUCUGUGAUGCCCCUAGACGUUCUGGGCUGCACGCGCGCUACAAUAGUACGUACGGCGAGUAUCACCAAGCUCGAAAGGGCAAGGUAAACGAUGGAAAAGGUACUGUAAUUGUUAUAGAUCCUUGUAAUUAUUGAUCUUCAACGAGGAAUUCCUAGUAAGCGUGUGUCAUCAUCACGCACUGGUUACGUCCCUGCCCUUUGUACACACCGCCCGUCGCUCCUACCGAUGGGCGACUUGUUGAAACUACUUGUCGAGAACUGAACAGUUUUUGAAAGGGAUUUGAAGCGAGUCAUCUAGAGGAAGGAGAAGUCGUAACAAGGUUUCCGUAGGUGAACCUGCAGAAGGAUCAAGGGCGAAUUCCACAGU